CUGUCUGUCUGUGUUCACGAGAGAACAUUUAUUGGGUUCAAUUUAUGUCAUUGGAACACUUAUUGGGUACUUUUGAUUUAUUGGGUAUACCCAAUAAUCCAAUUGCUUUCAUUGUGUUCCAGAGACAUUUACUGGGUAUUGGAUAACACAAACCCAAUAAAUGUUUGUCUGAGAUUUGUCUAUGAAAUCUAGUCCAUCUUAUGGACUUUACUGUUUGUUGAAAUCAAAUUCUUUCGGAAUGCCUUUGGUUUUAUCAUCAACAAUGAAGAAUUCAGAAGAGUUCCAAACAACUAUGACAUGUGAUAAGAUUAUCCAAUCAGAAAGUAGCAAUGGCUACUGAAACAGAUGCUAGAUGAACAUAUCACCUGGAACUAGAGAAAACCGAUUCAAGGCCUUAUUGCUAUCUGGAUAAGAAUAAUCAUGUGAUGAUGACCCUUUUGAUUUAGCACCUGGAAGUAGAAGUCAAGCCUGGAUGAGCUUUUUAAUGAAUUACAUGAUGAUGAUGAUGAUCAGAGCUAUACUGACAUCUGGACAAAGAGCAAUAAUGGAGCCCUGGAUUCACAGUUUAAAGAUUGAAAGUUUUUGUGAACAGAAUUUAGGUUAGCAGCAUAGAAAAAUCACUGCAUGCAGACCUUUCAACUCUGGAAAAGAAACCUUGGGCACCCAAGACCUUGUUGAGGCCAGGGGCAAGAAAUAGCAAGCAGUCUACCUGACCUGCAUGAAAAACACACAUUUUGCCGGGAAACGAAUCUGACUUCACAUUACGAAAUUUUAACAAGAGAGGGGCAAUUUGAUGAGCUUUCAUUCAAGAGGUCCUUCGUUGAUGAACGAAAAUUAAGGCUUUGGAGCUAUGAACCUGAACGUUAACAUUACCGCCUCAGAUGGAAAUGCAUUAGUGGACAAUACCAAUAUUGAGCUCCAUGCUGAUACUUUGUAAAUUGAAUUGGAACUUCAUCAAAGAUUAAAACACAACAAUGAGACACACUAGAUAGUUUUUCAGUACAGACUUCACACCAUAAAAUUUUAACAGAAAAGAGGCAAUUUGAUGAGCUUUCAUUCAAGAGGUCCCUCGUUGCUGAACGAAAAAUAGGGCCGGAGCUAUGAACCGGAACGUUUACAUUACCGCCUAAGGAAAAUGCAUCAGUGGACCGGAACGUUUACAUUACCGCCUAUGGAAAAUGCAUCAGUGGACUAUACUCAGGCAUUUCAUGUGGAUAUGAAGGUAGCGAGCAUUGCAGGAAAAAUACACGGCUAGUGUUAGAAAGCGUUUAAUGGGGUAUACCAUCAGAAAAAUCUGGUAAUUGAAGUGGUGAAAUGACGGGCGGCUGCCAAAAGGGUGCCCCUUUGGCUGGACAACUCAUACAGUUUUCAAGAUAUAAAGGUUUUUUGUUUUGCAGAUCAAUUGUAUAUAUAAUCGAGAUAUGCAUUAUUGCUGGGAUUUUAACUUGUAAAUUUUUGCAAAAAGUACCCACUUUUGAACUCGUCAUUUGCUUAUAGGGUACAUCUUUUGUGCAAAUAACUCCUUCCAACAGUUUUGAAGAUAGAGAUAUCUUAAUUUUGCAGAUUAAUUGUACAAUCUCAACCCCCAUAAACUUGAAAUGAUGACCAAAUAUCUUAAAAACAAAUGGGAUCUCCACCCCUAAACAAUAAAUAUUCUUGUUCAUUGUGUAGGUCAUUACCUUAGAGGGUGGUUAUGAAGAUAAACAUUUACAAUUUUCUUCAAUACAGGAUGUUGGUACAGGAAAAACAUUCAAUAUUUUCAUAUUAUAUAUUAUAUAUAGCAACAAGAGUAAAAUGGUCAAACAAGAGGAAAAGGAGGUAAGGGAAUAUUUUUCAGACUGUUGCACAUCAAAUACACUCCCAUGAAUGAAAAUGUGCCCAAGACUUACAGAAUGUAACUAAAAGUGCGGAAGAAUAUUGUGGAAAAGGAUAUGGGAGACCAUAAAGAAAAUAUAUGGAAUGACCUUAAAAGAGUUAAAAAGUAAUAAAUUUGCUAAGAUUUGCACUUUUGAUUGAGUUAUGUCUUAGUGUACAGGAAUUGUUAAUAAUAUAUGUGUGUGCUCAUAGAAAAGAACAUCAUGCAUAUGCAUUGUAAUACCAGUAAAUAUCGUAUUGAAAUUCUUGAUCAUGUUAAGAUUUUCAAAGUUUAUGAUGAGUUACAGUGUGUCUAAUUCCACACAUACAAAAUUCUCUGUCACUGUUUUAAGGGGAAAAAAAACCCAAAUUGUACCAGUAUGUGGAUAUGAACAUUUUUUGAAUAUUUUUGGAUGUGUAUUUUUUAUGAGUCAGCCAAUGACUGUUGAAUAUUUAAACUUUCUCUGCAUUUUUGUAUGCAAGCUGAAUAUUAUGCCAGUUUAAAGGUCUAUGGAAUGGUCUGUUUGAUCUUCUUAACCAUACAUGUAAGAUGUCUGACAAUCUUUCUGCAAGAUUUGAUAAAUUCGUGUACAUGCACAUGCAUUUGUGUAUAUUUCAUAUUUGAUGAUAAUUGUUGAAAUUGUUGAUAAAGUUGAGAUUUUCAAAGUUUAUGAUAGUUAUGUAAAUUGAUCAAUUUUGAGUUUAUGAUCAUAAAUUGUUGUUUAAAGUU